AGUGGACGCUGGCGGCAGGCCUAACACAUGCAAGUCGAACGGCAGCACAGCAGUAGCAAUACUGUGGGUGGCGAGUGGCGGACGGGUGAGGAAUACAUCGGAAUCUGCCUAGUCGUGGGGGAUAACGUAGGGAAACUUACGCUAAUACCGCAUACGACCUACGGGUGAAAGCGGGGGAUCGCAAGACCUCGCGCGAUUAGAUGAGCCGAUGUCCGAUUAGCUAGUUGGCGGGGUAAUGGCCCACCAAGGCGACGAUCGGUAGCUGGUCUGAGAGGAUGAUCAGCCACACUGGAACUGAGACACGGUCCAGACUCCUACGGGAGGCAGCAGUGGGGGAAUAUUGGACAAUGGGCGCAAGCCUGAUCCAGCCAUGCCGCGUGGGUGAAGAAGGCCUCGGUUGUAAG
rnacentral:rRNA from 1 species